rnacentral:rRNA from 1 species
GAUGAACGCUAGCUACAGGCUUAACACAUGCAAGUCGAGGGGAAACGAUAGAGAAAGCUUGCUUUUUCUAGGCGUCGACCGGCGCACGGGUGAGUCACGCGUAUCCAACCUGCCCAUCACUUGGGGAUAACCUUGCGAAAGUAAGACUAAUACCCAAUGACGUCUCUAGAAGACAUCUGAAAGGGAUUAAAGAUUUAUCGGUGAUGGAUGGGGAUGCGUCUGAUUAGCUUGUUGGCGGGGUAACGGCCCACCAAGGCGUCGAUCAGUAGGGGUUCUGAGAGGAAGGUCCCCCACAUUGGAACUGAGACACGGUCCAAACUCCUACGGGAGGCAGCAGUGAGGAAUAUUGGUCAAUGGACGAGAGUCUGAACCAGCCAAGUAGCGUGCAGGAUGACGGCCCUAUGGGUUGUAAACUGCUUUUAUAAGGGAAUAAAGUGAGAGUCGUGACUCUUUUUGCAUGUACCUUAUGAAUAAGGACCGGCUAAUUCCGUGCCAGCCGCCGCGGUAA